ACAUCUUUUUAAGAAGCAGAGGUAAGCUUCAUAUAUUUCUUGUAACAUGGCAAAUGAAACUUGCUUUCCUUGUUCUGUGGCAGCCACAACCUAUGAAAUUAAAACCUCUCUUUAUUUGUCUUGCUACCGAGUUGUUGAAAUGGAACUAAAUGUGUGCAAAGGGUCAAGCGGCAUUUCUUUACGUAAAAAUGUAUUAAUUUAAGUAAAAUUUGAAUAGUUGCUAAAUUAUAAGUUUUAACUCUACUUACUAAAAGGGAUUAGACAGGUACAUUUAGUACAACAACGGAAAUUCAUUGAGCUAUGGAGUUAGUAAACCUGAGGUUUGAUAAUUGAGGUUAUUUAGUCAAUUAAGAAUCUCAUUUAAUUAUUGUGACAUCACUGAAAGAUGCACCUGAAGUCUUCUGUACUCUGUACAUCUUUUUUUCCCUUGAAAAUUUAGGCUGGGCUUGGAUAUUUCAAAUAUACAGUGCGAACGUAAAGGUUGGAAUAAAUUCAUUUAAAAUUCAGGGGUAUGUUCAAAAAAAAAAACGCUCGGACAUGUCGAUUUUUAUUUUUAACUGCGGGUUUUCUUACUAUAAUUUUAUGUGGUACUAUACCCAAUACUCUUCCAAAAAUAGCCUUUUAUUGUGUUCAAUCGUCAACGGUCGAGUUUAGGUAUAGGACAUGGUACAUGAAAUGUACUUAGAAUUUGAUGUAUAACCUAAAUCUAAAAUAAAAAAUAGGUGUUUACAUUUAAAAAAAUUACGUUGAUGACCGUAACUUAUUUUUGGGCCACCCUGUAUACAUAAAAUUAUAGUAAGAAAACCCGCAGUUAAAAAUAAAAAUCGACAUGUCCGAGCGUUUUUUUUUUUGAACAUACCCCUGAAUUUUAAAUGAAUUUAUUCCAACCUUUACGUUCGCACUGUAAUGUAUUUGUAAUUGAAUUACCAGAUGCAUCUUCCAACAACAAUAAAACAAUAGAUAAAUUGAGGACUGCAAUACAAGGCUAAAAAAUUAAGAAUUAAUUAAAUUAAGAAUUUUUCUUGAGCUCAUGAAAUUUUUAGAAUAGUAAACAGAAUACCAAACAAAUUUUUCAAUAUGUGCUUUAGAACAUGCAGCACAAUAUAUUUGUCAACCAUCAACUGACAUUAUAAAUCAAUGUGUCAUACAGUUUUUUCAAAAAAAUUAAAACUUGCAAAAGGGCUUUAGAACUGUGGCUGAUAACUAUAGGCUGGUGUCCUUCCUUGUGUUGAAGGUUUUUGAAAGAUCAGUACGUAUGAAACUGUUGAAUUAUAAUCAAACAUUAUAAUUUGGCAAAUAUAAAUCCACCCAGAUAUACGCCAAAAAUAUCAACUAAACAAGCCAUAUGUAAUUCACUAACAUUUAUUUAAAACAAUUUGGAUAUUGAUAGUAAGACAGCAUUGUUCUUCUUCUUUGAUCUCUUAAAAACCCAACAUUUUUUUUUGCUUUUUAUUAUUUAUAAUGGUAAAAAAAAUAUUGAGCCACCUUCCACAGUCACUUUGUAAGAUUGCAACUUAUUUAGAAAGAAGAUGAUGUUGCAAACUGGAAGUGUGGAGGAGUAUUUUUCAGAUGCAAGUUUAAGAAAUUUGGUGCUCUGAUUCUUUAACUUGUAUGUUUCAUUAUUGUUCUUUUAUGUCAUCUACUAUGAUCAUGUUUUUAGCAAAUUAACUAUAACCUGUAGAACCUUAUUGAAACUUUAUGACUGUAUAUUUUAAGUUUAUAAUCAUUAAUAUGCUUUGUCCACAAGAUGUAAUUAUGUUUUGAUAAUAAAGCUGAUUUUUAGUUUGAAUACCUCCUA
rnacentral:lncRNA from 1 species